rnacentral:rRNA from 1 species
UACGGAGGGUGCAAACGUUGCUCGGAAUUAUUGGGCGUAAAGCGCACGUAGGCGGCUUGGCAAGUCGGAUGUGAAAUCCCUCGGCUCAACCAAGGAAGUGCAUCCGAAACUGCUGAGCUUGAGUACGAAAGAGGAUCGCGGAAUUCCCGGUGUAGAGGUGAAAUUCGUAGAUAUCGGGAGGAACACCAGUGGCGAAGGCGGCGAUCUGGGUCGAUACUGACGCUGAGGUGCGAAAGCGUGGGGAGCAAACAGG